rnacentral:rRNA from 1 species
AGUUAAUCUACCCUUGAGUCAGGGAUACCCUCGGGAAACUGAGGUUAAUACCUGAUAGGAGUUUCUCUCUGGAAAGAAGAUACUCAUAAAUUCGAGCUCAAGGAUGAGACUGCGGCUGAUUAGCUAGUUGGCGGGGUAAUAGCCCACCAAGGCAAUGCUCAGUAGGGGCUCUUAGCGGAGUCGCCCCGAGAGGGAAUCUGAGACACUAUUCCCAGCUCUACGGAGUGCAGCAGCUAUGAAUCUUCUGCAAUGCGCGCAAGCGUGACAGAGCGAGCCAAAGUGUUUGUCUUUUUGAUAAAUUUUUAUCAGCUGUAAAAUGCUGAUGAAUAAGGACUGGGUAAGAUCGGUGCCAGCCGCCGCGGUAAUCCCGACAGUCCAAGUCGCAACCAACAUUAUUGGGUCUAAAACAUCCGUAGCUUGCUUGAUAAGUCUCUUGUGAAAUCCUAUAUCUCAAGUAUAGGGCACGCGAGAGGUACUAUUGAGCUAGAGACCGGUAGGUGUAAGAAGUACGCUCAAGGUAGUAGUAAAAUACGUUAAUCUUGAGUGGACUCACAAUAGCGAAGGCAUCUUACAAGGACGGAUCUGACAGUGAGGGAUGAAGGCCAAGGGCGCAAAAGGGAUUAGAUACCCCUGUAGUCUUGGCAGUAAACACUGCUCACUAAACAUUGGGGCCUCUUCGGGAGGUCUCAGUGCUGUAGCGAAGGCGAAGAGUGAGCUACCUGGGAAGUAUAGUCGCAAGAUCGAAACUUAA